rnacentral:rRNA from 1 species
UAGAGUUUGAUCAUGGCUCAGAUUGAACGCUGGCGGCGUGCUUAACACAUGCAAGUCGAACGAGAAAGGGACUUCGGUCCUGAGUAGAGUGGCGCACGGGUGAGUAACGCGUAGGUAAUCUACCUCUGCAUCUGGGAUAACACUUCGAAAGGGGUGCUAAUACCGGAUACACUUAUGGGUCGCGAGACCUAUAAGGAAAGGAGACCUCUCCUUGGAAGUUUCUGUGUAGAGAUGAGCCUGCGUCCCAUUAGCUAGUUGGCAGGGUAAAGGCCUACCAAGGCGACGAUGGGUAGCGGGUCUGAGAGGAUGAUCCGCCACACUGGAACUGAAACACGGACCAGACUCCUACGGGAGGCAGCAGUGAGGAAUAUUGGACAAUGGGCGCAAGCCUGAUCCAGCGACGCCGCGUGAGUGAUGAAGGCCUUUGGGUCGUAAAGCUCUGUCAGCAGGGAAGAACGGCCGUGUGGUUAAUACCCAUGCGGAUUGACGGUACCUGCAGAGGAAGCACCGGCUAACUCCGUGCCAGCAGCCGCGA